rnacentral:rRNA from 1 species
CGCGUAGGUGGUAGUGAAAGUCUAUGGUGGAAUCUUAGGGCUUAACCCUAAAACUGCCUUGGAAACUUCAUUACUUGAGUCAGUGAGGGGAGGGUAGAAUUCCUGGUGUAGCGGUGAAAUGCGUAGAUAUCAGGAGGAAGGCCGAUGGCGAAGGCGGCCCUCUGGCGCUGAACUGACGCUGAGGCGCGAAAGCGUGGGUAGCAAACAGGAUUAGAUACCCUGGUAGUCCACGCCCUAAACGGUGGGUACUAGGUGUAGGGCUCGUAAGGGUUCUGUGCCGAAGGGAAACCAUUAAGUACCCCGCCUGGGGAGUACGGCCGCAAGGUUGAA